GCUGUCAUCUCCUGUUUAUCUAAUUGGGGUUCAGAGGACUUGAGUCCGACAGGGAGGGGGCACAGGAGAUGGAGAUGAGGAGGAGGAGGCAGAGAGACAAAGAGACUUCGGGAACAGGCCUAUUAGGAGCCUGAACAGGCGGGAAUAUUUGUGCUGGUCUGCACCUUCAGGGAGCUUGGAGGGUGGAGGACAUCCUGCAGCGUUAAACCUACUGAAGGAUUCUUGGUGCCCAGGUUUACAGUCCUGAUGUGAUGGUUUGAAUUUGCAUGUGCCCUCUGGAUGUGUACCUGAGGGUUCCUUGAAAGUCAAAGGAGACCAGAGACGUGUUCGCCUCAGGAUGGCUAGCAGUGCAUGUGUGUGUAUGUACAGUAUAUAUGUAUGCAAUGGGGAUGCUGCCGACACACAGCUCAAAGGACUCCCAUUGCAGCUCCAGGGAGAAAAAAGAGACACAAAUGCCUUCGUGACUUGUUACAUAGUGAACGGGGUUUCCAAUGCAAGAGUCAUCCGCUGCACGCAUCACACUCAUCUCCCCUGUCCAGCCACUGUGACGCAUAUCUUCCUUGUGUUUCAUCAACCGUCACGCCUCAGGGUGUGUGGUGAGGCAGAUGAUGUGUAGGCAUCCUAAAUCCAGACUAUCUGACCAGGUUCAUGGGAGUUCAGUUUAAGGGGAAGCCCUUGUUAUAAAAGAAUGUUUUCCUUUGACACAGAAAUUGGUUAUUGUUGUAAAGAUACAGUGAUUUUUAAGUUUAAGUUUAUAUUUUUAUAUAUAUUAUGUAUGUAGGUUGUACAUAUUUAUUCUCUAUUUGUAUUGCAUUCUUUUCAUUCCUCAUGGGUAUA